rnacentral:rRNA from 1 species
AACGAACGCUGGCGGCAUGCCUAACACAUGCAAGUCGAACGAGACCUUCGGGUCUAGUGGCGCACGGGUGCGUAACGCGUGGGAACCUGCCUUGAGGUUCGGAAUAACUCAGAGAAAUUUGAGCUAAUACCGGAUGAUGUCUUCGGACCAAAGAUUUAUCGCCUUUAGAUGGGCCCGCGUUGGAUUAGCUAGUUGGUGGGGUAAAGGCCUACCAAGGCGACGAUCCAUAGCUGGUCUGAGAGGAUGACCAGCCACACUGGGACUGAGACACGGCCCAGACUCCUACGGGAGGCAGCAGUGGGGAAUAUUGGACAAUGGGCGAAAGCCUGAUCCAGCAAUGCCGCGUGAGUGAUGAAGGCCUUAGGGUUGUAAAGCUCUUUUACCAGGGAUGAUAAUGACAGUACCUGGAGAAUAAGCUCCGGCUAACUCCGUGCCAGCCGCCGCAGUAA